rnacentral:rRNA from 1 species
UACGAAGGGGGGCGAGCGUUGUUCGGAUUUACUGGGCGUAAAGGGCGCGUAGGCGGCCAGAUAAGUCUUGUGUGAAAUCCCUCGGCUCAACUGAGGAACUGCACGAGAUACUGCCUGGCUUGAGUUCGGGAGAGGGAAGCGGAAUUCCGGGUGUAGCGGUGAAAUGCGUAGAUAUCCGGAGGAACACCGGUGGCGAAGGCGGCUUCCUGGACCGACACUGACGCUGAGGCGCGAAAGCUAGGGGAGCAAACGGG